AAAUCAGUGAUGAUGGGGUGAAGGAAGUGGUGGCGCAAAUCUCUUGAGCCUACGUACAGGAACUUGAUGAGGCUAAAUGGGGGAAAAGGCUGCAAUACAAGCCGAAGUCCAAAAGGUAAACGUAAAACCAAGACAGUAAAUCAAGAGGUUGUGGAGAGAAAGAUAAAUGU
rfam:Tetragenococcus halophilus NBRC 12172 DNA, complete genome.